AUUAACGGUAUCGCAAAAUUUUAGUUUGCACAUGAUACAUUCGAGGAGAGGAAGUCGAAGCACACUGUACCAAAUGUGGAAUCAAUAGAAAACACAACAAAACUUGAUCAUUCCAGCACUUGCCUCAAACCAUUGUUUUACACUUGAAACGUUUCUCCGUAACAACGUUGGACAAAUUGACAAAUAUUAUCGAGUUUUCAACAAAUGCGGCUGGAUUGGAUAUGACGCCAUAUGCAGUUCACUCUAAGACAGUGAAAUACUCGUUGUAUGACGUUGUCCAUCACAAAGGAGCAACUACCGUUACUGGCCAUUAUUAUAGCGACUGUAAACAACAGACGUCACAGCGAUGGUACCGUUUUAACGACGAGAAGUAAGAAUCAAUUCCACCGCAUACAUUCUUUUCUUUGAACA